rnacentral:rRNA from 1 species
CAGCAGCCGCGGUAAUACGUAGGUGGCAAGCGUUGUCCGGAUUUAUUGGGCGUAAAGCGAGCGCAGGCGGUUUCUUAAGUCUGAUGUGAAAGCCCCCGGCUCAACCGGGGAGGGUCAUUGGAAACUGGGAGACUUGAGUGCAGAAGAGGAGAGUGGAAUUCCAUGUGUAGCGGUGAAAUGCGUAGAUAUAUGGAGGAACACCAGUGGCGAAGGCGGCUCUCUGGUCUGUAACUGACGCUGAGGCUCGAAAGCGUGGGGAGCGAACAGGAUUAGAUACCCCUGUAGUCCCUGUCUCUUAUAA